ensembl:lncRNA
GUCCCCUGUCAUGUAUUAAUGUUGUGACCUGCUGUUGGUGUGUCUAGUCUGUUUUAUGCCUCGUCAAGUCUUCGUUUCUUGUUUGGAUGUUUUGGAACACUCUGUAAAUAAACUGCACUUGGGUUCUCACUACGCCCUCCUUCAGUGGAAUCAUUACAUCGCCAUAUUUCAUGAGAACUGUGACUUUCUUAAUUUGGAACAAUCUCUUUAAGUAGGGUUUCCAUUGACCUACGAAGACCUGGCAAACUAUUGAACAAAUCUGUCUGAGAUUGAUACCAGUUAUCCAAAAAGAUGUGAAAAACCACACAAACAAAUAUCUGACUCUUAUUGUACCAAAAUCCUAUUGAUUUUGGAAUGCGGUGUACACAUACAGGUUGAAUUAUGAUGUUUUAUAUAUUCACAGCCAGUCUCACUUAAAUAUUGUGUAAGCCCUAGUAAUUGUAUUCACUUGCAGUGCAUUAGCAACAAUCUUACCAUUGUGAACUUGUAGCUGCAGGUACAAAGGAUGACAUGGUGUGCUGAUGGAGAGGUCCUUAUCAGGAACUUGUCUCUGAGGUGCAGCCAGAAGUUCUUCGAGCUGUCCCUCUGGAGAGACAUGGCCCUGGUUGACCUCAGCUUGAGAGCUCAAGUGGAGAUCUCAUUUCUCAAGAUCACUGAAUCUCAAGGUCACCAUCACAGGUGUGUCCAGUGAGGAGGCAAGUGUCACGGUCCUGCUAGCCAACACCUAUGACGAAUACACCGUCCCUGCAGAUGCAACUAUGGACAACAUCCUGAAGCUGACACACACAAACUUUGUUGUUAGUUGCAUUGAGCUGUUGGUGGAGGAGAACUUAGAAUUAAUUGCGUUUUUGUUGAUGUUAUUUACUAAUUCCAUUUUUUAUUAGUUUAAAUAGUAAAAUGUAAAUGUAAAAAUUUGUUUGAGUUUUGUUUAAAAAGUUUUAACAAGUUUAAAGUUUCUAUGUAAAAUGUUUAAAGUUUUUAUGCAUUCUAAAAAAGUAGAUUAAAUAAUCAUUAAGUCUGAUCAUUAAGUUGGAACACAAUUUAAGAUAUUUUGGAUGAAAACCGGGGGGCUUGUGAUCCAUAGACGGCCAAGUAAAUUACACUGUCAAAUUCCAGAAAAGUAUGAAAAGCAUUGUCAGACUCUUUUUUUUUUUUUUUUUUGCCAUCAGUGAUUCAACCAUAACGUUAUGAAGCGACAAGAAUACUUUUUGUACACAAAGAAAACAAAAAUAACGACUUUAUUCAACAAUUUGUCUCCUCUGUGUCGUAGCACCAUUUUGGAGAAUAUGAGCUGAACACAGGCAGUGUACGCUUUUCUGU